rnacentral:rRNA from 1 species
AACGAACGCUGGCGGCAUGCCUAACACAUGCAAGUCGAACGAGACCUUCGGGUCUAGUGGCGCACGGGUGCGUAACGCGUGGGAACCUGCCUUUAGGUUCGGAAUAACUCAGAGAAAUUUGAGCUAAUACCGGAUGAUGUCUUCGGACCAAAGAUUUAUCGCCUUUAGAUGGGCCCGCGUUGGAUUAGCUAGUUGGUGGAGUAAAGGCCUACCAAGGCGACGAUCCAUAGCUGGUCUGAGAGGAUGAUCAGCCACACUGGGACUGAGACACGGCCCAGACUCCUACGGGAGGCAGCAGUGGGGAAUAUUGGACAAUGGGCGAAAGCCUGAUCCAGCAAUGCCGCGUGAGUGAUGAAGGCCUUAGGGUUGUAAAGCUCUUUUACCCGAGAUGAUAAUGACAGUAUCGGGAGAAUAAGCUCCGGCUAACUCCGUG